rnacentral:rRNA from 1 species
AACGAACGCUGGCGGCAGGCCUAACACAUGCAAGUCGAGCGAGGACUUCGGUUCUAGCGGCGGACGGGUGAGUAACGCGUGGGAAUGUGCCCUUCUCUACGGAAUAGCCCUGGGAAACUGGGAGUAAUACCGUAUACGCCCUAUUGGGGAAAGAUUCAUCGGAGAAGGAUCAGCCCGCGUUGGAUUAGGUAGUUGGUGGGGUAAUGGCCUACCAAGCCGACGAUCCAUAGCUGGUUUGAGAGGAUGAUCAGCCACACUGGGACUGAGACACGGCCCAGACUCCUACGGGAGGCAGCAGUGGGGAAUCUUAGACAAUGGGGGCAACCCUGAUCUAGCCAUGCCGCGUGAGUGAUGAAGGCCUUAGGGUUGUAAAGCUCUUUCAGCUGGGAAGAUAAUGACGGUACCAGCAGAAGAAGCCCCGGCUAACUCCGUG